UGGACUGUUCACCCACCAACAGCGAACGUGAGCUGGGUUUAGACCGU
rnacentral:rRNA from 1 species